rnacentral:rRNA from 1 species
GAUGGACGCUGGCGGCGCGCCUAACACAUGCAAGUCGAACGAUUAAAGCACCUUCGGGUGUGUAUAAAGUGGCGAACGGCUGAGUAACACGUGGGCAACCUGCCCCUUUCAUUGGGAUAGCCACGGGAAACCGUGGAUAAUACCGAAUACUUCGAGACUUCCGCAUGGAAGACUCGAGAAAGCUCCGGCGGAGAGGGAUGGGCCCGCGGCCUGUUAGCUUGUUGGUGGGGUAACGGCCUACCAAGGCAAUGAUGGGUAGCUGGGUUGAGAGACCGACCAGCCAGAUUGGGACUGAGACACGGCCCAGACUCCUACGGGAGGCAGCAGUGGGGAGUCUUGCACAAUGGGCGAAAGCCUGAUGCAGCGACGCCGCGUGCGGGAUGAAGGCCUUCGGGUUGUAAACCGCUUUCAGCAGGGACGAGGCGAAAGUGACGGUACCUGCAGAAGAAGCCCCGGCUAACUACGUG